AUGAACAUGAAAAAAGACGCAUCCUAAGUUUCUCAACGAAUGAAGCUUAACCCCACCAAGUAUCAACCACACUACAAAGCCAUCAGCAAAACCAUGCAGCACCAGAAGUCGCAUUGAUGGUUAUUUAUUUUCAAGCCUCUGUCCUAACCCGAGCUCAUUGAAAAACAGUCCACCGCAAACGUAUUACACCAGACAUCUCAACCGUCCCAGAGGAAAUCCGAACACUUUCAAGUGUUUGGGAGGUGCACAUGAUGACAAACGACACUGCUGCUAAUGCUGGAGGAGGGGUCAGCGUGCCUCAUUAUAUAGUAUCAAGAGCCAUUAAGGACAACCUAAAGAAAAUUCCGGGCUACUAUGUGACUUACGUUCAUCCACUGGGCCAAAACUACCCUCUGAACAAGUAUUAAGUCCCCAGGUUACAAAGAGUUCCGUUCCUACGCUGGCGACGUGUCCCAAAUUUCUACAAAAGUCAGAACCAACCCUUUCAGUAUGCCUAAAUCUCAAAACAACUAUCCAAAAAGUCAAAAAGUAUUAUAUUUUGUUUUAUAAUGGAAGAUACACUGCCUUCUGGUGGCAGCAUUGGGUCUGGCUGGACUGUCGCCUUAUUGGACUGAGGCGCAGACUCGUCUGACAUGGAUGAAGGACAAGCUGCGCUCUGGUUUGGCCUACAUAAGGCUAUAAGUUGUUUCAGGUAUUAUACAGUAUGUUUGUUUAUGCAUUUAUAAUUAAGUUUAGAGCUACAGUUUGUGGAGUUAUG